rnacentral:tRNA from 1 species
GGAAAUGUUGCAGAGCGGUAUAUGGCGCCAAACUCUAAGCUUGGUGACCAUCGCCGUGGGUUCUAAUUCCACCCUUUCCG